rnacentral:rRNA from 1 species
AUUGAACGCUGGCGGUAUGCUUAACACAUGCAAGUCGAACGGUAGCAGCUCUUCGGAGGCUGACGAGUGGCGGACGGGUGAGUAACGCGUAGGAAUCUGCCUCAUAGUGGGGGGACAACUUAGGGAAACUUAAGCUAAUACCGCAUACGCCCUACGGGGGAAAGGAGGGGAUCUUCGGACCUUUCGCUAUGAGAUGAGCCUGCGUUAGAUUAGCUAGUUGGUGGGGUAAAGGCCUACCAAGGCGACGAUCUAUAGCUGUUCUGAGAGGAAGAUCAGCCACACUGGGACUGAGACACGGCCCAGACACCUACGGGUGGCUG